AUGGUGACGGGCGCGCCCGGGGGGGAAACUUUCUGUGUGCUAGACAACUCAACCCAACCAUUGUACCAUUUGAUUAUGAGUAAAAUAAAACUCUUGUGUUAAAUCUACUUUGGUUCUCAUUGACAACCUGGACUUUCCACUACAAAAUUGGCGUCACGAACUAGGAUGGUCCAGAACUCUGCAAGUCAACAUCCGCUCCCGGCUUCUCUCUCAGGCAGACAACGCUUGCACGCGCGCAUCUAAUAAAAGAAGGAACUUCCUGAUGUUGCCUGACAGCACGACAUCAGCUGACAACUACUGGGGACGCCUCCCAGGAAUGAGUGGAAGACGGGGACUGCUCCAACUGUCCUAGCACUGGCUGACUGAGUCACAAGAUCAGCACUUCUCAGGACCAGCAGCUUCCUAGGAAGGUGGAAAGACCAUGAGACCAAAAUGGUAAGUUUGCAAAAUGUAGAAUUUGUGUGCCAGUUCCUCUGUGCAGAUUUGAGGAUGAAAGCAGCCACUCCAGAUUCCCUUGCACUCGCUAAGAGGGGCACGGUCAAAGCCGAUCCAGGACCAACACCCGAUACCUGACUGGAAGGAACCGAGAGGAGAGACAACACCUUGCCAGCGAUGACGAGAACAACUAAGGUUGCCAGCCAAUGGGUCCACCGGGACUCCAGCAGCUGUGGAAAGAAGUGUCGGGAGUGCCGAAGCAGCGAGGAGGCCUGAAGCAAGCCGAGGGCCUGGACCAAAGCCCCACGCCCCAUACUCUGCCCCAGCCUUCCCCAAAGCCCCCACAGCUCCAACUCUACCUGAGUUUUCCCCAAUUUCGGCCAGCACGCACAUGCCACUGAACAGUCUGCCCAAUGGACUGAACCACACCCCAAGA